ensembl:piRNA 21ur-7994 ncRNA
UUGUGCGAUUGUUCGUAGAAC